GGCCGUUUAGCUCAGUUGGUAGAGCGCUUCGUUUACAUCGAAGAGGUCGUAGGUUCGAGACCUACAACGGCCA
rnacentral:tRNA from 1 species